rnacentral:rRNA from 1 species
GACGAGGGGCCUAGCGUUGUUCGGAAUCACUGGGCGUAAAGCGCAUGUAGGCGGCUUGAUAAGUCAGGUGUGAAAGCCCUGGGCUCAACCCAGGAAGUGCAUCUGAUACUGUUGAGCUUGAGUAUGAGAGAGGGUAGUAGAAUUCCAGGUGUAGUGGUGAAAUACGUAGAUAUCUGGAGGAAUACCGGUGGCGAAGGCGGCUACCUGGCUCAAUACUGACGCUUAGAGUGCGGAAGCGUGGGGAUCAAACAGGG